rnacentral:rRNA from 1 species
CAGCCGCCACGGGAAUACGUAGGGUGCAAGCGUUAAUCGGAAUUACUGGGCGUAAAGCGUGCGCAGGCGGUCAUAUAAGACAGAUGUGAAAUCCCCGGGCUCAACCUGGGAACUGCAUUUGUGACUGUAUAGCUAGAGUACGGCAGAGGGGGAUGGAAUUCCGCGUGUAGCAGUGAAAUGCGUAGAUAUGCGGAGGAACACCGAUGGCGAAGGCAAUCCCCUGGGCCUGUACUGACGCUCAUGCACGAAAGCGUGGGGAGCAAACAGGAUUAGAUACCCGGGUAGUCCCUGUCUCUUAUAC